UACGGGGGGAGCAAGCGUUGUUCGGAUUUACUGGGCGUAAAGGGCGCGUAGGCGGCGUGACAAGUCACUUGUGAAAUCUCCGGGCUUAACUCGGAACGGUCAAGUGAUACUGUCGUGCUAGAGUGCGGAAGGGGCAACUGGAAUUCUUGGUGUAGCGGUGAAAUGCGUAGAUAUCAAGAGGAACACCUGCGGCGAAGGCGGGUUGCUGGGCCGACACUGACGCUGAGGCGCGAAAGCUAGGGGAGCGAACGGG
rnacentral:rRNA from 1 species